rnacentral:rRNA from 1 species
AAUGGCCGGUACANCGGGAAGCCAGGCGGCGACGCCGAGCGGAACCCGAAAACCGGUCUCAGUUCGGAUCGGAGUCUGCAACCCGACUCCGUGAAGCUGGAUUCGCUAGUAAUCGCGCAUCAGCCAUGGCGCGGUGAAUACGUUCCCGGGCCUUGUACACACCGCCCGUCAAGCCAUGGGAGCCGGGGGUGCUUGAAGUGCGUCGCCGCGAGGCGCGCCCUAGAGCAAAACCGGUGACUGGGGCUAAGUCGUAACAAGGUAUC